UACGUAGGGUGCAAGCGUUAAUCGGAAUUACUGGGCGUAAAGCGUGCGCAGGCGGUUUUGUAAGUCUGUCGUGAAAUCCCCGGGCUCAACCUGGGAAUGGCGAUGGAGACUGCAAGGCUGGAAUCUGGCAGAGGGGGGUAGAAUUCCACGUGUAGCAGUGAGAUGCGUAGAGAUGUGGAGGAACACCGAUGGCGAAGGCAGCCCCCUGGGCUAAGAUUGACGCUCAUGCACGAAAGCGUGGGGAGCAAACAGG
rnacentral:rRNA from 1 species